rnacentral:lncRNA from 1 species
AAUUUGUUUGGUCGUAGAGUUCUGUAAUUCUCAUCGUAUUCAAGGCGAACACUUUUUGUGUGAAAAUGGAUUGCACUUUUAAGGCAUGUUUCUUUUUGGUGGCCGUUAUUUAUGGCGUUCAAGCUGGGCUUUUGGGGAAGAGAAGUCCACAGACUGAAACGCUAGAAAGUCAUUCCUGCCAUCCAGACAACAUAAUAUCCUGCAGUUUCGGAAUGACCAAACCGUGUGAAACUUAUGGUGGUUUCCCCUGCACAUCGCAAUGUAACAAAUGUCCUUCUUCGCAAACAUGUUGUUGCCAUCCUGCCGUAUGGUAUCCGAACAGCUGUCAAGGACUUACAAUUGUGCGAGGAAAAUGAAUUUAAAAAAGUCUUUUAGAAG